rnacentral:rRNA from 1 species
UAUAUUUCCAUCCCUAACCUAUUCAAAGUAUGAAACUGCAAAUGACUGGUCCAAUCAGUUAUAGUUUGUUUGAUGGUAUUUGCUACUCGGAUAACCGUAGCAAUUCUAAAGUUAAUACGUGCAACAAACCCCAACAUUUGGAAGGGUUGCAUUUAUUAGAUUAAAGGUGUGGGCUCUGUCCAUUGCUCUGAUGAUUCACGAUAACUCGACUGAUCUCACAGCCUUCGUGCUGGUGAUGCAUCAUUCAAAUAUCUUUCCGGUCAACUUUUGAUGAUAAGAUAGUUUCCUACCUUGAUGGUGAUAGGAGACGAAUGAUUAGGGUUUGAUUAUCGAGAGAGAGCCAGAAAAACGGCUAUCCCUAAUACCCAUUAUUUUUGUAGUGAAAAUAUUCUGAGCAAUA